CUGCAGUAUUAGCUGAAUACUAGUCAACAUGCGUCGUGCCUGUGCUAUUGUUUUGUUCCUCAUCUUCACUCAAUACUUGAUUGAGACAACUGAAGCUCAGUCGUCGGACCCUGCUGCUACUUGUGGGAAACAUGGUGACUCAUGUGACUCUGAUUCAGAAUGCUGUGCACCUGCAACGUGUCACAGAUUCGCCAAAAGAUGCCAGAUCAAAAUAGAACUACCUAAAUUCCAUAAAUGAUGAAGAAUAAUAAAUAUCUUGGAAAAAAAAGACAUGUCAAGCAACGUUUAUGGACCAAAAUUAAACACCGUAUAAAAUGCAAAAA